GUGCUCACUUGGGCAGCACAUACACUAAAACUGGAACAAUACAGCGAAGAUUAGCAGGCCCUGGUGCAAGGAUGACACGCAAAUUCAUCAAGUGUUCCAUAAAUAU
rnacentral:snRNA from 1 species